rnacentral:tRNA from 1 species
GCCUGAAUGGUCUAGUGGUAUGAUUCCUGCUUUGGGUAACUGAUCUGCAGGAGGUCUCCGGUUCAAUCCCGGAUUCAGGCC